AAAAAAAGCAAAAGAAAUAGAAAAAGAAGGGUCUAGAAUUUUUAGGAACCUUGUUAUAAUUUAUUUAUUUGUAUCAUAUCAUUAUAUAUAUAUUCUUCAUUUUUUUUAGCAUUUUCAU
rnacentral:ribozyme from 1 species